rnacentral:rRNA from 1 species
GCAGCACAGUGGAGCUUGCUCCAUGGGUGGCGAGUGGCGGACGGGUGAGGAAUACAUGGGAAUCUGCCCAGUCGUGGGGGAUAACGUAGGGAAACUUACGCUAAUACCGCAUGCGCCCUUUGGGGGAACGCCGGGGACCUUCGGGCCUGGCGCGAUUGGAUGAGCCCAUGUCGGAUUAGCUAGUUGGCGGGGUAAAGGCCCACCAAGGCGACGAUCCGUAGCUGGUCUGAGAGGAUGAUCAGCCACACUGGAACUGAGACACGGUCCAGACUCCUACGGGAGGCAGCAGUAGGGAAUAUUGGACAAUGGGCGCAAGCCUGAUCCAGCCAUGCCGCGUGAGUGAAGAAGGCCCUCGGGUUGUAAAGCUCUUUUGUCCGGGAAGAAAAGCAUUGGGCUAAUACCCUGAUGUUCUGACGGUACCGGAAGAAUAAGCACCGGCUAACUUCGUGCCAGCAGCCGCGGUAAUACGAAGGGUGCAAGCGUUACUCGGAAUUACUGGGCGUAAAGCGUGCGUAGGUGGUUUGUUAAGUCUGAUGUGAAAGCCCUGGGCUCAACCUGGGAAUGGCAUUGGAAACUGGCGGACUCGAGUGCGGUAGAGGGGUGUGGAAUUCCCGGUGUANCAGUGAAAUGCGUANAGAUCGGGAGGAACACCAGUGGCGAANGCGACACCCUGGACCAGCACUGACACUGANGCACGAAAGCGUGGGGAGCAAACAGGAUUAGAUACCCUGNUANUCCACGCCUUAAACGAUGCGAACUGNAGGUUGGGUGCACUUUGGCGCUCAGUCUCGAAGCUAACGCGUUANUUCGCCGCCUGGGGAGUACNGUCGCAANACUGAAACUCNAANGAAUUGACGGGG